AAUUAAUAUAUUUAAAAUUAAUAAUUAUAUAUUAAUAUAUACUUAUAUACAAGAUAAUUCAAUUUUUAUCAAUUUUAUUAAAAAAUUUUAUUUUAUUACGUUAAAUAUUUAUAAAUUAUUUUAAUUUAAUUAUCUAAUUAAAUUAUUAUUAAUUAAUUAUAAUAGCAAUAUUUAUAAUAGUAUUGUUAAUUUUUUAUUUUUAUAUUUUAAAAUAUAUAUAUAAUGUACGUAUCCAUUAUGUAUUUCCAAUGUACGUACAGCAGAUACUCACAGGAAAAACCAACGAGACUAAUAAUAAAAUCAAUGAAUUAGAAAAAAAGAGCUAUAGACAAAUAUCUUAUAAUAUACCGUGGCAUAAUCUGCAAUUUAUUAUAAAAUAAUUGAUCCGAGCAGUAUCAAUUAUAAAAGAAGAUGGCUGAAUAUGAUAGACACUGUCGAAUACUAAUCAAAUAUAAUCAUUUAGUUAAUCUUUAAGAUUUAAGUUAAGAUACAUCUUUGAGGAAUCAAUAAGUGUUUCGCUAAUAGCCUAAUAGAUCUUUUGAUAGAUCAAACGAAGAAAUACCUAACCGCGAUUACAGCCAAUUGGUACAUAUUAUUCGAUACAUAAUUAAUAUUUGUAUCACGUACAGCGAUGCAAGUGGUAUUGAAGAAAAUAGCCAUUUUAUGUUACAACUAUAACGAGUAAAUUUACUCGUUUACCUUGAGAGGAAUUAAAAAGGUACCUGACUUUUAAAUAAGCAUUAAAUAAGAAAUUUAAAUAUCGCAGACGGUGAUGUAGGUGUUAUUCAAGAAAAGAGAACAUUUUAUUUUGUAAUUAGCACGAGUAAAUGAACGAAUAUCGAUAAUAUAAUAUAAUGAUUAAUAUGAAUUUUAUCUGGCUGAUUAUUUAAAUACCAUAACAUAUUUCACAGUAACGUCAUCGACUGCCGUUAGGCUCUUUUCCCUUUUUGUUCAAACUAAUUGAUAGUCGAAAACUAGUAUCAAGGAGGUGUGAAUUUAGUCUUAGUUUGUAGAAACUAUUAAAAUGAUAAAAAUGGAUACCGUAUUAAAUCGUCGAAGGCGCCAAUUUACGAUAAAAAUUAAGAAAUUGUUCAAUUUGAUUUUGUUAUAAUGGAAAACCCGUCCUUUGCUAUGUCAAGAGAUCGUUAACGUUUGAUUGACAUCUCGACACCUUGUCAAGAUAUAUAAGGAACGCGGAAGUCGCGCGCGAGCUCUUUCGUGUCUGAAAUUCCGGACAGUGAACAUCCAAGAAGAAUUUAAAUAUAAGCGUUGAAAACUUAUGUGGGUGAAACGCUAGAAUUGACUGGAGUUCUUCGACAAGAAAUGGGCACUUGUCUUUGCAUAGACAGCAACAAUGUGCCUCCGACAGUCAGCAAACGUUACUCUGUACAAGUUCACUGUAAACAAAAUAAAAACCUGCCAAGCACUGUGGCGGCACGGGCCACGGAACUUUUCAACGGCUCCGGAUGCAAAGCGCGACGCCGCCAAAGCGCAACACCGACGUGCCCAAUGUACCAUCGAUAUCUUCACACUCUUUCCGCCGAAUUCUCGGAAGAGCAUACACGUGCCAGCACUGGCGGCACAUCUAAUGAAUGCACGCUAGUGGGGGAUAUCGAUGGGCUACGAAGGGAAGAAUCUGCGCGAUCCGAAACAAAAGCACAGGCAGUCUGUCUUACGCCAUUAAAUGUGUAACUCCUCGGUACUAUUUGCAUAGCAACGCGUCGAAUGAUCUCUCGGUGUCUAUCGUUAUUUGUUAGUUGUUACCAGUUGUCUGUUAAGUGUAAUUGUUAAUUGUUAAUUGUUAACUCUGAUUGUUGAUUAGUUCUAAAUAAACUAUUGUUCGUUAAAAACACCAAGA